UUGCACCGUCAACAACAGCAAUAGCCUCAAUAGCCUCCUCAUUCUCUUUGUUCUUCUUCUUCUUCUUCUUCUUCUUUUCAAUUUCAUCACUCCCUGCAUCAAUUGCACUAUCAACAACAGCAACAGCAAUAGCCUCUAUAGCCUCCUCAAUCUCUUUGUUCUUCUUCUUCUUCUUCUUCUUUUUCUGCUUUUCAAUUUCAUCACUCCCUACAUCAAUUGCACCAUCAACAACAGCAAUAGCCUCAAUAGCAUCCUCAUUUUCAUUGCUCUUCUUCUUCUUCUUUUUCUUCUUUUCAAUUUCAUCAUUCCCUACAUCAAUUGCACCAUCAACAACAGCAAUAGACUCAAUAGCAUCCUCAUUUUCGUUGCUCUUUUUCUUCUUUUCAAUUUCAUCACUCCCUACAUCAAUUGCACCAUCAACAACAGCAACAGCCUCAAUAGCAUCCUCAUUUUCAUUGCUCUUCUUCUUCUUCUUCUUCUUCUUCUUCUUUUUCUUAUUUUCAAUUUCAUCACUCCCUGCAUCAAUUGCACCAUCAACAACAGCAAUAGCCUCCUCAUUCUCUUUGUUCUUCUUCUUCUUCUUCUUCUUCUUCUUCUUUUUCUUCUUUUCAAUUUCAUCACUCCCUACAUCAAUUGCACCAUCAACAACAGCAAUAGCCUCAAUAGCAUCCUCAUUUUCAUUGCUCUUCUUCUUCUUCUUUUUCUUCUUUUCAAUUUCAUCACUCCCUACAUCAAUUGCACCAUCAACAACAGCAAUAGACUCAAUAGCAUCCUCAUUUUCGUUGCUCUUUUUCUUCUUUUCAAUUUCAUCACUCCCCACAUCAAUUGCACCAUCAACAACAGCAAUAGCCUCAAUAGCAUCCUCAUUUUCAUUGCUCUUCUUCUUCUUCUUUUUCUUCUUUUCAAUUUCAUCACUCCCUACAUCAAUUGCACCAUCAACAACAGCAAUAGACUCAAUAGCAUCCUCAUUUUCGUUGCUCUUUUUCUUCUUUUCAAUUUCAUCACUCCCCACAUCAAUUGCACCAUCAACAACAGCAAUAGCCUCAAUAGCAUCCUCAUUUCCAUUGCUCUUCUUCUUCUUCUUUUUCUUAUUUUCAAUUUCAUCACUCCCUACAUCAAUUGCACCAUCAACAACAGCAAUAGCCUCAAUAGCCUCCUCAUUCUCUUUGUUCUUCUUCUUCUUCUUCUUCUUUUUCUUCUUUUCAAUUUCAUCACUCCCUGCAUCAAUUGCAUUAUCAACAACAGCAACAGCAAUAUCCUCAAUAGCAUCCUCAUUUUCAUUGCUCUUCUUCUUUUUCUUUUUAUUCUUUUCAAUUUCAUUACUCCCUAC
rnacentral:lncRNA from 1 species